UUGACGUGGUUCAUGUGCUUUAAAACAAAUACCUUCCAGACGGAUACUCUGGGACCUUAUAAUGUGGGUUAAGGAACAUUUUAUGCUUGCUUUUCUUCGUAUCUUUAUUUUUUUAGAUAAAAUUCUUUUGAUGGCAUUGUGGAUGUCGAGAGAUAAAGAAAACAAAAGAAUCAAUGCUUAUGAAGACACUAAAAUGUGAUAUUGAACGUUAUAAAGAACUUUUUAUAAAUUUUUUUUUUUUAUUGGAGUGUAUUUUUAUUUAUGUAUAAUUUAUAUUACGAUAUGUGUGAUAUGAAUUGUGUCACGAAAAAAACUAUAAUUAAAAAAAACGACAGUACUAGUA